UAUUUGAUGAGUUGUUAAAAC
rnacentral:piRNA from 1 species